ACCUAGGUGUAGAACCUUCUUUCACUGAACACCAAUUCAAAGCACCAUGCUUGUUGCUUCGAAGAUCACUUGUAGAGCUGGUGCGUCUCGGGACAAUGAGGGACUAGAGGAGUAGGCGACACUAUUUUUCCUAGAAGCGGGCCUACUACUGGUUGGGUCAGACUCUGCUGUGCAUCACAAUUCUUGAUCUUGUUUGGAAUUGAAGAGUGGUC
rnacentral:lncRNA from 1 species